UCUGAUAUACAACCAUCUUUUUUUUCUUCUUCUAAUUUUCAGGAUUAAUGAUUUAGUGCAAAAUGUCUGAAAAGCCGAUCCGUGUUGGCCAGCGUGUAGAAGUCAACGGCAAAGACUCCCUAGGAACGGUAGCCUUCGUUGGCAGCACACAUUUCUCGCAAGGGAAGUGGGUGGGCGUCAUCCUCGACGAGAAGAAGGGCAAGAACAAUGGCUCGGUGCAGGGAAAGUCAUACUUUCAGUGCGACGACGGUUAUGGCAUAUUUGUACGGCAGAGUCAGCUAGUCCCCCUAGACACAGAGGAAGAGGGUGAGGAUGGUUCUGCCGAGACCACUCCAUCCGCCUCUUCCUCUGCUACAACGCCAGCCAGCGACAAACCCAAGUCCAGGUUACCUAUGUUUGGUAAAUUGCAGCAGCCCCGAGCGUUUGGGUCGACCAUUCCGACCCCUCCAGGUUCCUCCCACCUUGCUAGGACCCCAUCCCUCACCAGUGUAUCCUCCUCCCCUUCCCUAUCCCCUCUCACAAAAACCCCCUCCCAGACCUCUCUUCGGUCAUCCAAGCCCGAUAUCAGUAAACUCCAAGGGUCCAGAUCCGACCUAACAAAAUCAGAGUCCCUAAGCAAUGUAUCAAGAGUUACUCCUAAGCUCGACCUGUCUAGAGUUUCAUCCAAGAUUGAUUGUGGUGAUAAGUCCCUGUUAAAGCGCCCCCCUUCCGUGUCCUCAAUUGAUUCCAUGGAUGGGGGAGGAGUUAGCCCCCGAGGCCCACCCCCCAAGACCAUUGGCACCACGCCAUUCCGUAAGCCCAUUGUCCCCACCCCUUUGAAGUCCAGCACAAGGAAGAGUGAUCCACAGGCCAAGUUACCCAUCGGCAGUGCGGGUAAAGGUGGGGCUUCACGUGAUGAGAGGACCCCAAGCAAGGAAUCGUCGCCACGGUCCGACAUGAAGAAGACCUCGUCGUUCGUGGAAGUACUUCAAAGGAAAAAUAGACAAGCUAGGCCAAGUCCUCGUUCUGGCCGAGGGUCGAGUGGCAGUGGAACAAAGGGCGGGACAAUGGGCCGCUCAGGGUCACAGGUCUCUCUACCCAGCCCCCGCACCCCCGCCUCGGGUACCGGGCCGGGGGAGGCUGGGGGCACGCCACUCGAGGGGAAACGGGUCGAAGGCUGUGACAUUGCCUGUCAGACCGAACAAACAAACUUUGUGGAGACGUUAACACCCCAGUUCACCCCUGGGGCGCCAUCCAGUGCGAUGCAGACCCUUGAGGACAAGAUGGCCGCCAUGCAAACUCAGCAGGAGAUGGAGAAUCUUCGAGGAGAAAUACGAGACUUGAAUGAAAAGUUGGAAACUUUGAGAGUGAAACGUGCUCAGGACAAGGAGAAGCUGAAGGAAAGUGAAAAGUUGAAACUCCAGCUCGAACAGCUGUUAGAGUUCAAGUCAAAGAUUAUGGAAUCUCAGGCCCAGUUGCAGCGGGAGAUGCAGAAAGCCAAGCAGGAUGCCAGGGAGGCCAUAGAGUCUCGGGAGAAGCACAUGGAGGACACCAUGGAAUUGUCCGAGAACGUGGAGAUGCUGACCCUAGACAAGGAGAUGGCGGAGGAGAAGGCAGAGACGCUGCAGCUGGAGUUAGACCAGGCCAAGGAGAGGAUAGAAGAGCUGACAUUGGACCUGGAAAUCUUGAAGACAGAGAUGAGUGGUGGAGGUGGUGGAACCCCAACAGAUGGGGAUUCGGAAGCCACGACCUACAAGGUCAGGCAGCUCGAACAGCAGAACAGCCGUCUGCGAGAAACUCUGGUCAAAAUGCGUGACUUGGCUGCCCACGACAAGCAUGAACUUCAGAAGUUGCAGAAGGACAUGGAGACCAAAAAUACUGAGGUCACAGAACUCAACCGCACUCGUGUUAAAUUGACAUCGCAAGUAGCCGAGUUGGAGCAGACCAUAUCUGAUCUCCAGGAACAAGUUGAUGCAGCCCUGGGAGCAGAGGAGAUGGUGGAGACACUGACUGAUCGCAACCUUAACCUGGAGGAGAAAGUGGCUGAGCUGCACGAGACAGUGGCAGACCUCGAAGCCAUCAAUGACAUGAACGACCAGCUCCAGGAGAACGCCCGUGAGCUUGAGCUUGAGCUAAGGGAAGAGCUUGACAUGGCCAAUGGAAAGAUCAGGGAGGUAAUGAGAGAACGUGAGGCAUCCAAUGAGAUCAUAGUGGACCAGGAGGCAACCAUCAAGAAGUUCCGAGAGCUGGUGCAGAAGCAGCAAGAGCAGAACAUCGAGCUGCGACAGGCACUCGAGAAGGAGACCAACAAGCCGAUCGCAACUCCCUCGGAGAUCAUCGACUUCAAGAAAAUGUUCAUUGAGACAAAGGCUCAUAGUAAAGCCAUUGACAUGGAACUUCGUCAACUGGAGGUCGCACAAGCCAACCAACAUGUUGCCUACCUCACUCAGUACAUGCCUGAUAACUUCAUGACAAGAGGAGGCGACCACGAUGCAGUGCUGGUGCUAUUGCUUGUAGCCAGGAUGGUGUGGAAGGCUGAAAUUGUUGUUGGUGGACUGAGGGACAAGUAUCCAGCCCCAGAAACCAUUGACAGGAAUUCGGUGCUCAAGUCUCACUCAGUUGAGCAAUAUGCCUUUGCCUCACGCCUUCUGCAGCUUCUGUAUGCACUUCAGGCUCUGCUGCACCAAUAUGAACAAGUGCUCAAUACAUGCAGCGUAGAUGUGUUCCUCAAGCUGGGAACCUUGUAUGGAGAGAUGGCCUCCCACGAGCGUAACAUCGACUUCUACGUAGACCUUCUCAGGAAAGAUCAGCUUGAUGAAAAUACACCAAUGGAUGCCUUGGAGAAAACUGUUGGGUACUUCUCGACAGUGUAUCCCGCUCAUCUUGCUGCCGAGAAGAUCAACCAGUCUCUCUACCUUUGCGAUGUGGCAAGAGUACUGUCCUCAGGAACUGAUGCUUCUGCUACUUACAGCUCAGCCAUCCUUACAAUGUUACAUCCUCAACAUGAAUCAUCUGAAGUUGCCUUAGUGUGCCGCGAUAUUGUGAGUGCCAGCAAGGACAUCCAGGGAGCCGUUAAGAGGAUACGCCGCAGGAUGCCACAGGAUGGGUCUGUGGGGCCCCUGAGCUACCCCCAGGACAUACAAGAGGCCCUCACCAGCGCGAUCGCUAACAUUAACAACGCGACUCGUGCCUUGAGACACGUGAGCAAGGCCUGUCAGCAGCAUACUUCACUCUUGGCAGAUACUGAGAACGGCAUCUUAAGCGAGAAGCUGAAGGAAUUCAUCCAUCAAGCCACAGACCUCAUCUACGGCAGAGAAGACCUAGGACCAGAGUCACUCAGGCUGUCCCUGAGUCGCACCCAGAACGACAUAAAUCGUAUUGCUAACACUCUUGAGAAGGGAGAGUAUGACUUCGACGGGUCUGUCGAGGAGAGGACAGUGCAGCCCGUGUUGCUGAGAGCCCAAGCCCUGAAGGAUGAGAUGAAGGACACAGAACACAUCAAAUACAAGUUAGAAAACAAGGAACAAGACCUCAAGGACUUGAAACUCACCCUGAAGCAGAAGAAUGAGGAGCUGAGCGAGAUGACAGUCCGAAGAGACCUGGCUGAAAAGAAGCUAUCUACGGCUACGAGGGAUUCAGACCUCACCAUUGAGAAGCUGCAGAGGAAGUUAGACGACACCUUGAUGAUGCUGCGGCGCAAGGAAAAGGAAUAUGAUGAAACAAUGGACCAUCUCCAAAGUGACAUUGAGAGCUUGGAGACGGAGAAGGGUGAACUUCGUGAGAAACUCAAGGCUCUCAACAAGAAGACUUUGUAUGAGGCUCUGUCCAAAUCAUCUCCUUUGACUGGAGGUGUUUCUCCUUCCUCUCCCACGACCCCAUCCGCAGCUGGGGUAGGCCCCACAGUGGGUGGUGGUGUUGUGCGUGACUCCCCCAUGCUCCUGCAGCAGAUCAAUGACCUCCGCACAGCCCUGAAUCAUGCAACUGCGGCCGCCCACUACAACACAGCCCACCGCAUGCAUCGCCAACUUGCCGCUCUCAAACCCAUCAAGAUCCACCAGCUCGGCACAACGGGUGAGGAGAAGAGAGACAAGACCAAAGAAGAGGCGGUCGCAGGGGAGAAGAAAUCCAUGGACCACAUCAACCAGCUGACCCGCCAAGCAUCGCACAUCCAGAAGGAGGUGCACAACAUGAUCACAGGUGUAGAAGUGGUUGACUUGAGUAAACGUCGAGCAGCCACUCUGCCGUGCACAGACCUAGCCUCACCUGCUAACCAUCUUAUCAAUUACAACAACAGGAUCAACAAUUUACGCUCUCAAAUAAUAUUACUUCAGGAUGAGAUCACAAAGGCAGUGGCUACCAUGAAGCCAGGAGGAAGCGUGGAAACUCCUCUCUCUACAUUCCCUUCGCCACAACUAGCCAAAGCAAUGGGUGAGCAGGACCUGGUGUGCGUGGGUCGCUUGAAGGUACCCUCUUCCACGGAGACCUCCAAGGAACCCGUCCCUGUUAUCCUCCAGCCAGACCACCUCAAGAAGCUCCACCUGCGGCUCUUGAAGUAGUUUGGAGUCUGGGGUCAUCUUCACCAAAUAUCUUACCAUGUAGAACCACUGUAAUGCCUGCUUCCAUCAAGUCCAUAGGGCUUGUGUGUUGACUGAUGAUGAUAAGAGAGGAGGGGGAAAAUGUGAUAGGAGAAUGUAAAUACAUUAUAUAAUUUCAUAUUUUUUCUUACAUUUUAGGAAACAGAGAGGCAUGGGUAUGGGAAAAGUUUGGCAUGUAGCGUGACUUGAAAUCAUACUAAAGAGUGGAGCAUCUGCCUGGCUUUCAGUGUUUGGAUUAUGAACCAAGCAUAAACUAAUGUUGUUUUUUUUUCAUGUGAGAUGAUUAGAAACUGUAAAUAAAGUUGAUUUUACAAGCAAAAAUUGUAUGUAUUUUUUACAAGGUUAAUGCAGACUUAUUAUUGUAGGGUAUUUAUGCAUUUUAUAUUUAUAACAAUGCUUUUAUUUAUGUGUAUGAAAAAAUAUUUCAGUGUUGUAAUAUUGAUAAACUGUGUUUGCAGUCCACAUAUUUAUUUUUAAGUGUUCCAGUUUUUCUUUGCAUUAAAAGUUCACAUUGCAUUAUUCAAAGUGAAUGAAACAUAUGAAUUAAAUUAAUUAGACAAGAUAAUUGAGUUGUGACUACGGUUAUCACAUAUUGCAUAACUGAUAUGCUUCUGAGAUCAGCUCUACAACACUGUUAAACAACAUAAAAGUUCUAAGGUAAAUGUGUGCCAAGAUAAUGUCAUAGGAAGCUUUACAGUUUGAGAGCAAGUGCAGUUUGGAUAUUAUAAUUUUGUAGGUAUCACCAUGGCAGCUUGUUUACACCUACAACUUAUUUAUUUUCUCAAUAUUGUUAUCAGAUGUUUAGAGGCACCUGUAGAUGCUUCUUUUAAAAAAGUAAUAAAAUGAGUAUGGUAAUCUGCUUCUAGCUUGAUGUGCAGAAUUUUUUACUUGUUUGAAACAACUGUAAUAUUCUUUAGUAAAGGUACAGCUUCUAAUUAAUUUUUUACAUUCAUUGUAGUGUACCACGGUUAGAAGUAUAAUGUGCAGUUGUUUAUUAAGAAUUUGAAUUGAACCCCAGUGUAAAUUGCAUAAUGAAUAUGCAAUGGAGUGUCAGCUUUAAAACUAUGAGAUAGCCUCAAAGGUUAAUUCUUUGCUUUUCCUGUAGUUGUAGUAUAACAGUCCAUUAUUUUCAGUCUUUUGAAAUAUUGAGUGUCCUUGAGAACUAAAUGACAGGAUUAUCAGGUGCCCAAAACAAAAUAGCAUUGAUAUAUGCGAGUGCUGCAAAGCAGUGUGAUUGCAGACUUCCUCAAUUUUGGUACUGUGUGAACUUUAUGCAAAGAGCAGUGACGGAGAGAUCAAGCACAUACCCGCAUCUGGUUGGUUCUAUAUCAUGUAUAGAAAUGCAAGUUCAUGGUGGUGGGUAUGCACAAAGCUUUAAUUCUUUAGCUUUAUUAUAAGCUGAGAAACUCCUUUUUCCCCUUUUAGUUUCACAGUAUUAAUAAGCUUUUUAAUUUCUAAUAUAAUGUAGUAUGCAUUUUCCUGCUUUUUCUGAUACUUUUUUUUUUUUUCCAAAAUAUGUAAUACAGCUGAAUAACUGUGGACAGAUCUGCACAAAGUCAUUUUCAUUCAAAAGCAGUAUGUUUCCCUCCUAAUGUACCAGGUGGAUUUUCUGAUAUUUUCAUAUUCUAAUGAACUCAGUGUUUAGGAAACCAAAGGUGUUACAUUUCUUUCUUGUUCGUUGAACCACUUGCAGACAUAUUGAAGAUAAUGUUAAUCUCUCCCAUGUGCUAGUAUGUAUAA
rnacentral:misc_RNA from 1 species